rnacentral:lncRNA from 1 species
CCCAACAAUGAGAGUGGUUCUUCAACAUAGUCUGGCUAAUCAAAUUCAAGAUUCCAUGUCACCAUAUCAAUGUCACCGUGAGUUUCAACAUGAAAACUAGCUUUGAAGGCCUUGUAAAUCUCCAUCACAUCACCUCCACUACCUUAAAUGUCACUUUCUUCUUUUCCUCAUCUAUGGUUUCGAGUAUAUCUUUCGCUAUUUUCUGCUUCCCAUCUACAAUUAUUUCAAAUUUUACAAACUUCAUACAAAAGGAAAGCCAGAUGAUCAAGUGAUAAUAUUGUUAUCCGAUGUUCAAAUGGAUGAAUUUGAUAGUACUCGGCCAUGUCGAGUGUAGUCUUAUAUUGUAUGCUAAAUAAAGUAGGCAUACCAUGAGUAUACUUCCAGAAGUAGACGGAGCCUAGAGUUCCCCACUCUCCUUCAUGCAAAUCGAAACCUUAAAUGGUGGUAGAGCUCAUAUUGGGUAUAUGUUGUGGUCUGUACCUAAACAGAUCAUGAAAUGCAUAUCCACCAGCUUCAUCUUUAUUUCGACUAUUUUUUUUAUCUUUAAGGCCCAUUUUUUCUUUGCAAAUAAAGAAGGCACUACAAAGACAUAGGAGAGAUGGGGAAGAUCUCACUCAACUUUCUUAUAUAUUUAUAAUUGUAUUGUGAGGGGUGCAUAUGUAGGAGAAUUUUUGAAAUUAGGUUAAUUCGAGGUGACUCUAGGGAUUGGACUUGGGAUUUAAUCUCAAACUAGAUUUUGAGUAAUAUAUGAUGGAUUGCAUUUGUGCUAUCACUUACAAUUUUUUAAUAAAGUAGUGACAAUCCCUACAUUAGCUUGGUAAUAUAGAACCAGAUGUUUUGUGUUCAAGUUGAUGUUGUAGCAUUCCUUUGGAGGAGAUGGAUAAUGUUGUGCAUGCUUGAAGUGAGAGCAGGCCUUACAACUGAGUUUAGAGUGGAUUUUGAAGUUUGAUUUCAGGUCAUAUAGGAUGAAUUGCAUUUGAAUCAUCGACUAUAGUGUUUGGACGAAAUAAUUACAAUACCCUACAUCAGUACAUGAGAAAUGAUGCAUGUUACUUGUUUUUUUAGAUGGCAGUGAUGUUUCAUCUUGAUUUGGGCCAUUUAGCCCAUGCUUGGUUCAAUUAAGUAAGUUGAUAAAAAUUUAAGCCAAAAUAAACAAUUAAUUUAAACCUCAUAAUUCAUGAAAUUCACAAUUUUUACCAACUUUUCAACUAUACAUUUUAUUAACCUUUUAUUAAAAUCUACUAAAUAAUUAUUUUUUAGCUAAACCAAACUGGGGCUUGAUUGUUUGAUUUUCUACAAGUGGACUAGAUCGUGAGCAAGUAAUAUAAUGAUGAAUUAAGUGUCAAACCCACGAGGGCUAUAUGUUUGAUCGAGUUAUAGCUAUUAAUACCCUUAAUCGAAUAGCAAAAUCGAGUUCUAACUAAACACUAUUAAAUCUAUCAACUGACUUAAAAGCAAUGUAAAGAAAAUUUAUCAAUUUCUUGAGAAAUAUUGCUAAGAUGUAUAACUCCCCUUAUUAAUCCAUUUUUAGUUCGACAAUUUGAAAUCAUACUUGUUAGUCAAUGUUUUUAUUUUAAUUGAAAACAUUUCUCGAUAGUUAUCAAUUUUAUUCCCCUCAAGUAACCUUCUUAUCUUUCGUUAAAAAUGUGAGCAUGAUAAAUGCAUUAAAUGAGCUAGAAUUUUUUAAAAACCAUGUGAAGCAUAGAGGUGUAUCUCUAUCCUAUAUCGAACCUCACAAUAUUUAUUACUAUGUACUAAUGAUCUUAUUAUCUCUCUCGAUAAUAACAAAAUCCACAUAGUUCAACUAGUGGCCAAAUAAUUGAAAAGCAUGAAAAACGAUAAUAAACAUCCAAACAUUCAAACAAAUUUAACGUCAAUCUAAUUAUUCAAAAAUUUCAUAACGAGGGUUUGUCACAUUCUAGCAAUAUAAAGAAAUUAGUCAUGCAUGAUGUCAGAAUUAAACACGCAAAAGUUAAAAAAUAUCACCAAAACUUGAUGGAACGUGAUUAAUUUUUCCAACGUAAAUCUGCUUUCUUUUUCUUGCAAUUUCUAGUCUCUGUAUGCGUGUCUUUUCUUCUUCUCCCCUACUGCUUCGGUUCUCUAUGUGCGUGUGUGUGUGUGUAUAUAUAUAUAUAUAAUUCAGCCACUUGAAGCCGCAAUAUUUUACCACUCCCAGCUGCCUCAAUUUCUGUUUCUAUAUAUAUGAUAUAAUUCAGCAGCAGUAGCCCAAUUCUUCUCCUCUUGUCUCUGUAGGCAUGUACGUACAGAUAAUCUUGGCUGCCUCCAAUGUGUGUGUAAGUAUAUAAUGUUGCAGCCGCAAAUUCUCUUCCUUUCUCUCCCCACAUCACCGCCCAAUGUUGUAUAUUUCCAAUUCUUCUCUAGGUUAGUCUCCCCAAAGCUGCCCUCCUUAAUGUGCGUAUAUAUAUCAAUUCGACAGCCCAAAGUUUUAGCCCAACGAAAAGUUCAAUUACUAAUUUAAUUUGAUUCCACUUAAAAGUCCAAUUGAGGUCCAAUUAAUUUCUUAUCUUCUUCAAGUCAUCCAAUCUUUCAAGUUAAUGCAAUGUAGUCCUUGAACUCAUCAAUUGUGCAGACUUUGAUCCCCCCAAAAUUGCCGAUUUCAUUCAAUUUCAUCAUUCUUCCUUUCCAAUUACUUCAAAUAAGUUCGUCACUGAAACAAACGAAAUUAACUCAAAUUAUGUAUAAAAUCACUAAUUUGACAACAUACAAAUUUAGUAAUGUUAAUAAGUUCACAAAAUGCACUUAUUAGGGCUAAUCUUAACGUUCAACGUGUAUUGCCACUUAUAGUUUAUGCUGUGGUAGAAUAAACUCUUCUAACAAAAUAAAUUAUUGCUAAAUGAAAAGGUUUUUUCAAGUUUGUUUCAUCACAACCAUUAAUGGUCAAUAUUAUCUUUUGCUACUCAUGAGAUGCUUAUUCUCAAACUUUAUAUUUAAUCUCUCCCAAUAUGUAUUUUUAAGGUUGCUCACAAACUACUCAAUGCUUCUCACUAAAGCUUGGUUAGAUCGAACCAAUAAAAGCAACUAUCUAGAUAUGUGGGGAUUUUUCAUGAUUUCGAGUGUCACAACCUUUCAAGCUUCCACUAGGUAAGUGAAACCCACUAGUUAUCUACAUUUCCAAAUUUUAGUGUCCAAGACUUGGUCAAACUUGCAAUGCAUCUUCUAUUUCAUGAUCAUGCCAUAUAAUGUCACUUUAUGUGUCACCUAAUAUUUGACAAAGUUCCAUUAUUCAAGAAAGAUAGAUUAAAAAGAUUGACUAAGGGCAUUGUUGACGAAUGACCAAGAAAAGUAAGGCAAAGUGAAAACUAAAUGUUUCAAUAAGUGGGUACUUAUUAGGUGAAGGUAUUUUGAUUUUAUUAAGCUUUUGUUUGAUAUUGAUUGAAAUCAAAUUUAAUCUAAAUCAAAAUAAAACAAUCAAUAUUAACAACAUAUUUCAUGAGUUCCACAAUUUUUUGACCAUAUAUUUUACCAAUGUUUAUCUAAAUUUACUAAAAAUUUAAUUUUAAUCUGUAUCAAGCGCAGGCAAAAAAUGCAAAUAUUGACUAUGUUUUUACCCCUACUAUCUUUUAUUGGAGCCAAGAAAGUUGUUUAAACAUAUAUGAAAAAGUUAAAAAUCUACAUUUAGAAUCGAAUAAACUUGGACAAAAUGACACCUUCGUCGAAAGAAUUGUCAACCAUCAAAACUCUACAAACAUAAAAUAUUGAUGUUCGAGCAUUGUUAGACUCCAUAUAGUCUAUUUGCUGAAAAGUAAAAAGAUAAAAAUAAGAAAAUUAAGGGUUGAUUUCUAUUUUGUAGAAAUUAUGCAGAAAUAGAGCUAAAAAGAAAUAAAACUGUUGCUUUUAUUUAAUCUUCUGGAUAUGCUUUGAAUAAAUUAUGGAAGAUGAAACACAUAUCAACUUAUUGUGCUUUGAAAAAGAUCAAUUUUCUAAAGGAAAGGGAAAUGAAAGUAAUGAUUGUAAAUUCAAUAAUAUUGAAUAGUAUAUGUUAUAAAGUUAUUUAAAUUAUAAUAAUAAUUGAAGGAUGAAGGGGGAUUAUACAAAAUCAAUGAGGGCAUUAUUGUCUCUCAAAAAUUUCUCCUCAAUCCUUCUUCUUAAAUUGCAGAUUACAUAUAUUAAUUAAUUUGAUUAUGAAUAAAACCAUUUAGCCAGGCUUAAAAAUAGAGAAGUGAAGAGACAAAAUAAUGUGUCAGAAAAAUAAUUGGGUGCUUUUGUUUUAAUUUUUCGAAUUGUUUAAUCAUGAGUCGACACAUGUCCAAUCUGGAUUUGAACCUGGAUGUGUAGCAUGAUUGUUUGAUUGUUAUGAUGAUCCAACAACAUUUCCAAUUUCCACAAGGUAAACUUUUCUUGUUAAUAGCUAUUAAGAACUAAAUUACAUUCACGUGAAUUAUUUGGAGACAUAUAGUAAUUGGUUGACGAUAUUUGAGCUACCGUAUGUAUGAAAUUUCAGCAGAUACAUCGUAAUCUCCUUUCUAAAUAACUAUUUUGAUUAAUAGAAAGUAAUGCAGAUAGUUGAGUGUAGUUUAGACUUUUCCUACUAUUUGAUAUUAAGACCUAAAUGACAUUCACUAUGAUGUAGAUUGAAUCUACAAGCACACAAUACUAACAACUCAAACGGAUUGAACUUAAGAAACAAACAUUUUCUUAUUUCAUGAAUAACCAAAAAACCUAGGAGACGUUUUAGAUUCUUAAAUACGAAAAGAACAGAUAACCUAUAGGGCCAACAGUCCCUUAAUGGGCUGGGCUACAAAACGAGAAUAACAAAUAUUGAAAAUAAUAAACUAAGAAACUUUAAAUGCCAUUUUGACCUAGUAAACGAAUUUAAACGGCCAAAAUCCAUCAUACAUCACAACGAAGCAGUGCAUUUAUCCAGAAUCAUCCGAGCUUUCCGGAAGGGGUUAUGGGCUCAAAAAGAACAUCGUAUAUAAAAGUUACGCCAAUUUCUUCGAACGCCGACCAUCAAAUCGUUCCAUAACUGCAAGUGCCUAUUCCUCCACACAAACUUUAUCACACUGAAUUCUUUAACGGCAUAAUAAUUAGGAGGAUAUGUGAGAUGGGGUAUACGAAACUAUCUAUUGAUUGAAAUAUUGUAACCUACUUUUAAUCAUGGACCACACUGUAAUUACAGGGGCACCACAUGGUAUCUAGUGACUAGUCAAAAAAUAAACUUAGAUUGUUCCUUCCUUCCCACAAGAGUUAUGCCCUUGUUUGAGCUCCGUUCUUCUAAAAUUUCAUUUUUAACGUAUAUUCUUUAAUAAAAUAAUAUUAAAUACAAUCUCAGAAUUUUUUAUUAAUUUCUAACCGCACAUUUUCUAUCAAUCUAUUAUUUAAGAUGCAUUCUUUCCCCCAAAAUGGAACUCAAACAAGGACAUAUAUUAAUUUUAAGCUAUUCUUUUUUAUUUCACUCAUUUAACUAGAAUAAUAUCACUUUCAUAAAAAAGAGUUUAUUUAAGAGUGCACAACAUGGAUCAUUUGAUAUUCACCUUGCAUCACAUCUAAUUGUUAGUUUGUAUUUACGAUUGUUGUUUUAUUUAUUACAGUACUUUCACAAAUUAUGUUUAAAAUUUUAUUUUUACUAUACUUUCUUUUGAAAUUCUAGAUUUAAGCAACACAAAAUAUUAAUUCUAGUUGCCAUUUACUUUCGCUUUCAAAUCGUUAUCAAAGUCCACAAGGGAUUAUAAAUUUCUUCCGAUACUUAAUGACGGACUAAGUAUCUUCUCAAUAACUAGAAAUUCGUGAAGAGUUCCUAUGACACAGUGCUGGCCUCCAACCAUAAAAGAAGUCAAUAUACUGUAGUCGAGUAGUUGAGCUUAGAUAUGAAAUUUCAUUUAAUAUGCUCAAAAAGUUGUAUCUAUAUUAUAAAGGAUUGCAUUAAUGUUGAUCCUCGUAUUAAUCUUGACAUGAUAUUAAACAGUGCUUUUUCUUAUUUAGUGAAACUUAUUUUAUUUUUCAUUGAUAACACAUAAUGAUUGACCAUUAUAAAUUGUAAAAAUCAUAGUUAGAGAUAAUAAUUGAACAAUGGUAAUGGGCACGGAUCUACAUCUUCACAACACGGCUAUAAAUAGAUUAGAGAGUUCUGAAUGCUCUUCACACAGUACUUGAACUUGUUCUUCACAAAACUUUCAUUAAGCUUUUCACAAAAGAAAAAAUGGGUCGCAAGGGUAAACUCACUGCCCAAAUAGAAAUGAGGUCUGGAGGAGAUGUAUUUCAUGAUCUUUUUCGGUACACACCACACCAAAUACGCAAAAUCAGCCCUACUACUAUUCAAGGAUGCGAUUUGCAUCAAGGAGAAUGGGGAAACUGUAGGCACUAUCUACACCUGGAAGUACACUUAUGGUAAGCAUACAGUGUUAAAUCAUAAUAAUUAUCUGGGCUUGCUACUGUGAUAGAGACGGUGCCAAGGCCCCAAAGAGCCGCGUCGAGGGGCUCCAAAUAGGCAUCCUGUAACAACCCUGUUCAAGUAGAAAUAUUCUAAUUAUCCCACAUAUAGCUCCAAAAAGAAAAGAAAAAGGAGUCACUCAACCCUCUUUUUUCUAUUAUAAGAAUAAAUAUUGUGAUAUAUAGGACAAAUUUACUUGUAUAUCUUUUCAACACGCUCCAUCGAGUUUACCAAUUUUUUUUCUUAUCAAAGGUUGACAUCUAGGUCAUUUUUAGUGCCAUGAAACUUAAAUUUAGGAUUUAUUUUUUUUAUCCCAAUAAUGUAUUGAACAUUAAAAGUAAAACUCAUAUCUAGAUCAUGUUGUGAAAGACACUGUAGGCUGGUAUUUGUCUCAAUUUGAACAAAUUAUUUCCUAAAUAAUAUUUGUUUAGCAAAGCACUUAUGUGGUGAAAAUAAUAGAAUAAAUGUUUUCAAAGACAAAUCAACAAGUGUCACAUGUUAAGUUACAUCAUAUGUGCAAUCAAGAUUCCAAAACUGUAGAUUCAAGACUUUCUUUUGUAUUAAAUUUACAAAAAUUGGAAUAAUUGUAGAUGGGAAACCGGAAGUAGCAAAAGAGGUAAUUGAACCCAUAGACGAGGAAAAGAGGUCAGUGACAUUCAAGUUGAUUGAAGGAGAUCUCAAGAAGGUAUUGAAGGCCUUCAAAAUCAAUUUCCCUGUUGAAAUUGAUGGUGACAUUGAUUUGACAACAUGGACUCUUGAGUACGAGAAAUUAAAUGACGACGUCAAAGAUCCACUCACUCUGUAGGGAUUUUGAAUUAAACUUGCAAAAGAUAUAGAAUCUCACCAUCUUAAGACACCCUGAUCUGGAUAGUUUCUCUGUUUGCAUCAGAUGGAUAGAUAACUCUGUGCGUGUGUGUGUAUUUUCACAGUUUGUCUUGGUUGAAUAAUUACUGUACUACUUGGUAAUGAAUAAAUGUUGCUUUGGGACGUUUUUGAGUGGUUAAUAUUGUGGUAUUAUUAAUAAACUAUAAUUAGUUUGAAAAUAUCUCCUUAGUUGAUGUUUCAAAAUUUGAAGUUCUAGAAGCUGGAGGAUCAGUUCAUGGCUCAUUUUUUUUGCAUAUUAUUUAAUUUUCUGCAUGAACCAUAGUCAAUUGAUGGAAGUGAUGAAAGUGAAGAAUACAACAAGAACAAUGAAAGUCGUUGAUUUGAAUACAAUAAAUGAAAGUUGAAAAUCACACCAAAACUCAAGUUUUUAUAAUUCAACGAGGGACAAAGCUACAGGACACAUCUUUCGCUGAAAUAAGAAAAAAUUUGAUGGUAUUUUACAAUCCCAAAAUUAAAUCAAAGAAAUCAAACACAAAGAACACAAUGAUUUUUCGCCCGUAGGCCCAAAUGUUCAAUCAGGAAUGGGUUACUGACCACGUUAAGCAUCCACCUAAGUGGUUAUCUCGCUAAUCCACUAAAAUCCAACAAAGUGUGUCAAAAUACAAGAAUCAAAAACUCAAAAAUCACUCGACUCUAAGCCUUCAGUCUCAACUCUCACUCUUUUAUCUCGUUUACAGAUUACACCAAACAACCAAGAGUUACAGUUUGCCAAAGAACAAUAAAACUCUAACCAUAACGUAAUCUACACUAGACAUCACAAAGAAUAUCAGAAGACUCAAGAUUACGAACAAAAACCAAGGUUUUUCAAAGAGAAAAUCACAGAGAUGAAAGAGAGAAUGUAACCUUAGAAUAAUCUUGAACACCCAAGUGAGAAAGAUGGAAUAUAAAAGGUCAUAAUACAUCCAACGGUUUACCCAACAACAUGUGGCCUCAUCUCAGCAGUCCAAUGAAGUCGGGUUUUAAAUAAAUGCGAGAUUGAGCACAAGGUACCAAACCGGGUCACAUUCCAACAUAUGGGCCAAUCCGUGUAAUUAAUUUGGGCUACAUCACUGGGCUUCAGAUUUAAGAUGUUAAGCACAUUUUUAACAAACUCCACCUUGUUUAACAUCUUUGGAUUUCACGCGGAUUAGAGGUUAACUCCUCUUUAUGGUUUCAUACGCCCUAUGUACUUGCAUGAAAUAUCCUUAGUCAGUAACAACAUUUAGGAGAUUUAAACAAUCCCUAAAUUUGUGUAUAGGAAUAACUUUUGUUCCCAUAUCUGCAGGGUUACAUUUGGUUGAGACCUUUUCAAUCUUUAUUAUCUCUUUUUCUAUAAUAUCUCUUAUAAAAUGAUAUUUAACAUCUAUGUGUUUAGUCCUAUCAUGAAAAACAUGAUUUCUGGUAAGACGUAUAGGAGAUUGGCUAUCAGAAUACACUAUAUCAUUAUUACUAGUAAAGCCAAUUUCAUCUAAUAAGUUUUUUAACCAAAUACCUUCCUUUACUGCAUCUGUGGCUAAAAUAUACCCAGCCUCUGCUGAAGAUAAAGCAACUAUUUUUUGCAGUUGAGAUUUUCAACUUAUGCAGGUAUUAUUUAAUGUAAUCACAUAUGCAGAACUAGAUUUUCUAUUGUCACAAUUUCCAGCAAAAUCUGAAUCAACAAAACCUUUAAGUUGAAUUCCAGUUUUACUAUUAUUGAACAUCAGCCCUAAAUUUGAAGUUCAUUUCUAGUAUCUUAAUAGCCAUUUCAUUGCUUCCCAAUGAUACUCACUAGAAUUACUCAUGUAUCUACUCAAGACACUUAUAGCAAAAGCAAGAUCAGGUCUUGGACAGACCAUAACAUACAUAACAGAGCCAAUAGCACUUACAUAAAGAACUUUAUCCAUCACACUUCUUUCUAUUUCAGUUUUAGGGCAUUGUUCAACAGAGAAUGUAAAGUAACAGCCUGAGGUAAUGUGACAUCCUUAGCUUCAUUCAUAGAAAAUCUAUUAUAUAUGACUGUUGUGUGAGAAACAAGGUACGAUUAGAUCUAUCCCUUUUAAUCUCCAUUCCCAAAUUCUUUUGGCUGGUCCUAAAUCCUUCAUCUCAAAUUCUUGUUUUAGCCUUUCCUUAAUGUUAAUUAUUUCAAUUACAUCACACCCAACAAGUAACAUAUCAUCCACAUAAAGCAAUAUAUAACAAGAAUUUGGGCCUCCAAUUCUUUUAUAAUAAAAACAUGGAUCAUAUUCACUUCUAUUAAAAUCAAGUCCUUUAAUGAAAGUUUCAAAUCUAAUAUAUCAUUGAGGUGCUUGUUUUAAACCAUAAAGAGAUUUUCGUAGAAGACAGACAGUUUUCCUUUCAUCUUUGUUCAAAACCUUUUAGUUGAGUCAUGUAAAGUUUUUUAAAUCUAAAUUUCCAUGAGAAGGCAGUUUUCAUGUCCAAUUGUUCUAGUUCAAAAUCAAAUUGUGAAACAAGAGAAAGUGAAAUUCUAAUGGAAGUAUACUUGACUACUGGAAAAAAUAUUUCAUUGUAGUCAAUUCAUUCCCUUUGGUUAAAGCCUUUAGCAACGAAUCUGGCCUUAAAUUUUACAUUUCUAGUUUUAUAAUCACCUUUCUUUAUUUUAUAAAUUCAUUUGUAGUCAAUAAUUUUUUCACCUUUUGGUCUAUUUACCAGGACCCAAGUUUUAUUUUUCAUUAAGGACUGUAUCUCUUCUUCCAUGGCUGCUAGUCAGGAAUUUGAGUCUUUGCUCUUAAUAGCUUCUUUAUAGGUUGCAAGCUCAUCUUUCAAUAGAUUUUGAACAUUUAAUACAAUAACAAAGUCAGGUUCACUAUAUCUCAAGGGGGACCUUAUUUCUCUUCUUAUUCUAUUCCUAGCCAAUUGAUAGUCUUCUAAAGGAUCUGCAGACUGUUCAAGUUCAGGUUCAGGUUCUAUGCCCUGCUCUAAUCCAAUCUCUACCUCAAUUUGAUCCUCAUUUCUAAUCAUUAAGUCAGCUAGAAAAAGUUCAGUUUGCAUAAAAUAUUAGUUUUGAUCUUUUUUGUGUCAGCAACUUUAAUACAGUGCAAAUCUAACUCAUUAAAGACUACAUGUCUGCUUAUUACAGCAUAUCUAACUCAUUAAAGACUACAUUUCUGCUUAUUACAACUCUAUAUCCUCCAUGACCCCUCAACUAGAUUCUUUAUCCUUUUAUACCUUCCCCAUAUCCUAAGAAAACACCUUUUAUAGAUCUUGGCUCAAGUUUCUCUUCAUUUUGGUGUACAUAAGCAGCACAGCCAAAACUUGUAAGUUUGGAAUAAUCAAUGGAAUGAACAUUCCAAAUAUGAUCUGGAGUGUAAUAAUUCAAAGAUUUGGUGGGACAUUUAUUUAUCAAAUAUGAGGCAGCUUUAAUUGCUUCUCCUCAAAAUAACUUUGGAAGACCUAAGUUUAUCAACAUGGACCUAACUUGUUCUAGCUAGGUCCUAUUCAUUCUUUCUGCUAACAUAUUCUGUUGUGGCGUGUAAGUAACAGUCCUAUGCCUAAGGAUCCCAUUACUUUUACAAAAUUUAUCAAAGUCUUUAUUGCAAAACUCAAGGCCAUUAUCAGUUCUAAGGGUUUUAACAUUCUUGUUAACUUGAUUUUCAACAAGAGUUUUCCAAGAAACAAAGUUUUGAAAGGUAUCAUAUUUGUUUUUCAAGAGUAUGACCUAAUUUUUUCUUGAAAAAUCAUCAACAAUCAAGAGAUAAUAUUUAAAGCCAGAGUAAGUACUCAAAAAAGCUGGUCCCCAAAGUUGAGCCACAUUAUUUUUAAAAAAAUACAUUUUUCAACAGUGAUUUAACAUCAUUUCAAUCACAUAUUCUUCAAUAAAAUAAUAUUACACGUAAAUCUAGAACUUUUUCUUAUUUUUUAACCACACAUUUCUCAUUGAUUUGACAUGAAUAAUGCAUUUUUUCCUAGAAUGUGGCUCAAACAUGAGCUUGGAUUUAUGGGUACCAGCAGCAAAAUGUAGUUUUUUCUGCUUCCAAUACUUGUUCACAAAAGGACACAUUUUCAAUUUUAUCAUUUCCUAAAAGACCUUAUUUCUUAAGUACAUGCAAGUUUUUAUUACUUUGUGUCCUAACCUUUUAUGCCAUGUUUCAAAUUUAUCAGACAAAGAGACUGUAGCGGCAAUAAAUUGAUUCUUAUGUAGUAUAGCUUUCGUGACAUACAUCCCAUUUGAUUUUUCUACUUGGAUGACAUUUGCAAAAUUAUUUUGGAGUGUCAAAAACACCUCUUUUAUGAUUAUAUUAAAACCUUCAUCAUCAAGUGAACGUAAAGAGAUUAAGUUUCUCUUUAAGUUUGGAAUGUAUUUAAGAUUAGUACAUUCUCAUUGUCUAGCGUUAAAACAAUCUUUCCAAUUCUUUUAAUUUUGCAUGAAAACUCAUUUUUCCUUAUUACUUGUCCUCCAUUUUUGUCAAAGAGUUCUAGUGAAGUACUCCUUGUAGGGUGACAUAUGGAAAGUACACCCAAAAUCUAGUAUCCGGUCAUCUUUGACUGUGGGUUGACAGGUCACAUAGACUUAUCCAUUUGAGGCUGCAGUUUCUUCAUAGGCUAUAGCAGCACGACUUUCAACCUUAUUUGCAUUUUUCAGUUCAUUAAUUCUUUUUAUACAAUCUUUGAUGUAGUGACCCAAUUUACCAAAAAAGUAACAUUUCCUACCUUUAGCCUUACUAUUGUUUUUAUUAAAUGUGGGUUUACCCUUUUGAGAGGUACUAGAAUAUUCUUUUGGUUUCCAAAAUUUUUAUUCAUGAUUUGAUUAUUGUUCUUUUUGAAAAAAAUAGUACCUUUUAUAUUAUAACCUACUCUAGUUGUGGAGGUUCUUGAAUCACUCUUUAGUUCAAGUUCUUUAUUCCGUAAAGAAGUAACAAUGUCAUCAACGGUGACAGAGGUUCUCCCAUAUUCAAGGGCAUGUUUCACUUUUUUAUAUUUUUCAGGUAAAGAUAAUAGCAAGGUCACAGAUUUUUUAUCAUCAGAUAAAGUCUGACCACCAUUAGUGAUUUCUUGAGAGAGUUUAUUAAAUCUAUCAAGAUUAAUUUCAAGAUCACAAUUAGGGUCAAAUUUAAAAUUAAAAAAUUGCUUCCACAAGUAACAUUUAUUGGAAAGGCUCUUAGUUUGAUAAAGAAAAUCAAGUUUUGUCCAAAUUUCUACUGCAGCCUUUGUUUUUCCUCUCUCUAAUCACACUGUUAGGUAAAUACAAGAAAAUUGUGCUCCAUGCAAUUUUAUCUUGCUCAGUCCUUUUAUUUUCAGUAACUUCUAUAUCCCAUGAUUCAUCUAUAGCCUUCACACAUCUUUGUUGCAUUAAACGUACCUUUAUUUUCUGAUUCCAGAAACCAAAGUCUCAUUUUCCAUUCCAUAUUUCAAUAUCAAUUUUCGUACUUCCCAUUAUUUUGAAAGGAAAUAAAUUCAGUGUAAAGCUUAAAGUACACAAAACUGAAGCACAGUUUAUUUACAAAGAUACACACACACACACACACAAAGUGAUAGUGUACAAUGAUGUCCAUACAGAUACACCAAAUCGUAAUCAGAGAAGGCAAGUAAUAGCAAAUAACCCAAUCACAAAGUACAAGUAUCCGAAUCACAUAUAGACAGUAAUCCUGAAUAAACCGUUAAACUUUUUUUCCUUAGAUUCUAGGGUUCUUGCAUGAAACCCUAGACAAAUGAAGAGCAUGAUGGGCUUUUACCAAGAUAUGCAAGAGUUUAAAGAUUUUUAAAAAAAUCACAAAAGGAGAUAGAUUGAAAAACUCGUUACCAACACGUCUCAGGCCAUGGUGUAAAAUAAUGAAUACUAGACUAUUUUACUUUCUCGGAUAUUAAUGAAGAUCAAACCUUUAAAAAUACAGAUUUGUGUAGAUCUCAAGUUUUGGCCACCAAGAGCACCAGAAAUAUUUAGAUCGAAGGCUUUCAACAUAGAUCGAGCAACUAUUAUUCCAAUGCUGGUAUUUUAUAUUCCCAAAAUUAAAUCAAACAAAUCAAACACAAGAAUUUUUCGCCCGUAGACUUGGAUGUUCACCCAAAAAUGGGCCACUCACCAUAUUGAGCAUUCACCUAAGUAGUUACUGUUCUAAUCAAGAAUUAGAGACUCAAGAAUUACUCGACUCUAAACCUUCAGUAUCAACUCUCACUCUUUUCUCUCAUUUAUAGAUUACACCAAGCAACCAAGAGUUAUAGUUCACCAAAGAAUAAUAAAACUCUAACCAUAACGUAAUCUACACUGGACAUCACCAAGAAUACUAGAAGACUCAAGAUUACGGAUGAAAACCAAGGUUUUCAGAGAAAAAAUCUCAAAGACGAAAGAGAGAAUGUAACCCUAGAAUAAUCUCGAACACCCAAAUCAGAGAGAAUGAAUAUAGAAGGUUAUAAUGCAUCCAACUGUUCAACCAUUAAUAGGUGGCAUCAUCUCAGCCGUCCAACGAAGUCGGGUUUUAAGAAUGCGAGAUUGAGCACAAGGUGCCAAACCGGGUCACAUUCCACCAUAUGGGCCAAUUCGUGUAAUUAGUUUAGUCUACGUCAUUGGGCUUCAGAUUUAAGAUGAUAAGCACAUUUUUAACAAAAUUAAACUAAAGACCCUAGACUAUUAAUGAUUACUAAAAGAGACCUACUAGUAAAUGAAAAAGGACAUACAACCAUUUAAAAAGGACGUAAUAAUGAAAAUGAGCUAGUUGCCUCCCAUCUUCGUGACAUCUAUGUCCUGUCUUCAUCAAAAAUAAAAUAAGUCUAAAUAAAAAAAUUUGAUUGAAUAAAGAAAUUAACAAAUAUAAAGAGAUAAAUGAGUUUUUUAUGAUAUUUUUUGGGGUGUGGGCAUUAAUUCUUCUUCUGUACAAAUGAGUCAUGAUCUAUUGGGGAGUGUAUCUAAUGUGUUCAUCCUUCUUACUCAGCCUGUUUUAUUAUUUAAUGGACAUUUUCCCUGCUUCCAGACAGUGAAGGGAUUGUAUCGCGACAAGCUCUAAGAGUACUGGCAAAGUAUAGGUUUUUAGGGGGUUCUUAAAAAGUAUAAAACAAGGCAGAUAUAUCUUGGCCAAUUGAUCAAGAUAGAGGAACCUAGGGUAGCAUAUUUAGCAUUUGAUUUUAGGGAGACUAUGCAAAUCAUACUCUCAAUCUACCUGGAGAUGAGGUACAUAUGAACAUUCCUAGUGGAGCAUGUAAAUAGCUUAUGACAAUCUACUUUGAGUAGUGAUUUUGAACCAAAAGAUGUGCCCUCUCUUUUUAAAGUUGCAUUCCACUUAAUACCUUUUUUGUCGAAUGAUUAUUCGUAGCACAUCGUCUCAAUACGAACGUCAUUGGUUAACAACAUUUUACAUUCAUUUGCAACAAAUUCUAAAUUAUAUGCCCAUUAUAUAAAAAUGCUUCAAAUGUCAACAUUACAUAUAUAAUAUUAAUAAUGAGUAUAGGGAAACAAAAAGUAGAGAAAGAAAAUAAGAAAGAUUUCUAUUAUGUUAACGGUCUACGUAAGCAUAAUAAAAUGACCAUUAUAUAGUUACAUUAUUUACACUCAUUUGCAACAAAUUCUAAAAUUUAUGUCCAUUAUAUAAAAAUUCAAAUGUCGUUAAUAAUAAGAAUUAUUUUUUAAGCUGAUAAUAUAAAUAACUAAAAAUUGGGUUUUAAAGGAAAUGUAAUUUGUUAGGCCCUUGUUUGAGCCACAUUAUUGGAAUGAAAAUGCAUUUUUAAAUAGUGUAUUGAUGGAAAAUGUGUGGUUAAAAAAUAAGGAAAAGUUUUGAAUUUGCUUGUAAUAUUAUUUUAUUGAAGAAUAUGUGGUUGAAAUGAUAUCAAGUCACAAUUGAAGAAUGUAUUUUUCCAAAAAAUGAGGCUCAAACAAGGGCCUAGGUAUGUAAGUGUUAUACCAUAGGUCCAAUCAAAUUUGAACAUAAGCACUUUUAAUAUUUAAUUGAUGCAAAUUUAAAUGACAGAUGUAUUAUUUAAUUAAUAUUCAAUUAUAUUAAAUAAUAGAGUCCAUAGAAUUAAAUCUUGAUAAUUUGUUAAUUACAAGGAAUUGUUAUUAUAAAAUAAAAAUUACAUAUGAUUGAAUCUUAAAUCAUCUGUAGUUGUAAGUAAUAACGAGAUACAGAUAUCGUUAUUACGGAUAGAUUAUCAUGUGUGGCAUUUCUUACUUGUGAAUUAAGUAGCUGAGUGUCAGUGAUUAAUUUUUAAUGUUCGAUAGUGAAAUUGAUCAUUUGACUUGAUGUCAUCACAGUGCCUUAUAUGGAGGACAGUCAUAAUUUGAUGAUGUUGGAUGUUGCCCUGUCAAUGGCCGUUAUUCAGGUAUGUAAAGAAUCAUAUAAAAGUUGUGAACGACCAAUAAGGGAUCGUCACUCUUAGAUAGAAAGAGAUUAUGAUCUAAAUUUUAUUCAGUUAAGUUGAUAAUGAAAUAUUUGGUCAAUGUGUACUCAUAAGUCGAAAAUGUUUUUGACUUAUAUUGACUUAAUAGUGGGAUAAAAGAUAUGAUUGAUAAUCGAGAUUGACACACUUCCAUAUCUCGUAAUUGAAUGGAUCAUAUUGACGAAGGGUUUAUAGUUUCAUGAUAAACGAUCAAGUUUAAUUUUGUCAUACCACAUAACAUUUUUUGUCACAAAUAUUGUCCUGACAUAUUGCUAGGUGUUAAUCUAGGACGACGAAUGUGAAUUAGUGAUAAAUUAAAGGAAAACUUUUAAUUUAUCAAUUUUGAUUAGAUCAAAAAUAAUAAUUCACAUCGUUAGACAUCGUGAUUAAGAACCUAAUGGGUCACACACAAAAAGAGAACUAUAAAAAUGUGAAUUACCAAUUAAUUAAUUGACAAGUGUCGAAUAAUUAAUUAAUUGGGUUACUUAUAAAUAGGCCCCAAUUAGUUAAUUGGAUUAAUUAAUUCAUGAACCAAAUUUAAUUAAUUGGAUUAAUUAACGUGGAAAUUACACAAUCUAAUCUAGUACAUUUAAAGAUUCCAUUUCAUAAAUCAUAUGCAAAAUUUAAUCUUUCAAAAAUCAAAUUUCUUUUUAUAAAUUAAUAUAUUUAAAAAUGAAUUAAUUAAUUUCCCUACACAAUUCAAACCCUACAUUAUUUCAAUCUCAUUUCCUUCUCUCUAUUCCCACCUCCAGAACCCAGAAGUAUCUCUCUCUCUCUCUCUCUCUCUCUCUCUCUCUCUCUCUCUCUCUCGUAUAUGUCUCUUUCUACUGGAAUGUGAGGCGACUAUAUUUGUCGGCAACACCGUCGCCAUAAAAAGUAGCCCUUAUCGACAACUCGAUCAAUCUAUCUAUGGCGGCCGUGGUGAUGACGGUGGUGGAUAUAGAUCUAUUUGUCAGUGUCGAACGAUUGUAAUUUUUUUCUUUUCUUUUUUUUUUUUCAAAUUGAAGAUGAUUUGGUAGAGGUGGUGUGGUGGAGAUAGGGUUGCAGUGUAUGAUAAUGGUGGUGGCUGUGUCACAAUGGUGGUUUUGGAGACGCCGCUGUUGCUCAUGAGAGAAAAUUUAGUGUUUGUGGCGAAGAGGGUGGAUACAGAUCAGAUCUUGCUGUAGCUAGUGGCGUGGUGGUGCUGAUGGUGUUUGUGCGAUGAGGGUGCUGUGGGCGGCGAUGUCGUGGUGAUGGUGCUAUGGACGACCUGUAUUGGUGAUGGUGUUUGUGUGGUGGAUCUGACGAUUUGAGUGGGUUUUUGUGGAGGUGACUGUGAAUCUGCGAUGGUGGUGAUGAUGUUCUGUAUGGUGGUGGUUUUGGCGACGAUAGGUUGCGGUGGUACUGUUACAGGUUAUAGGGUGGUGGUGGUUUUUUUUUUUUGGUUGUUGGAGUAGUGGAGGUCAUUUGUUGUUGGGGAUUUGGGUGGUUUUGGCAUUGGUGAAGCUAGCGGUGGUGGUGGAUUUAGCGAGGUGGUGGCUGGUGAUAUUGCAGUAGGUGGAAAGAGCGUCUGUGACCAAUUAUGUUAUAAUCAGUAAAUUGUUAAUUUGUAAUUGGUAAGUAAUAUGUGGCCGAAUAUGUGACCGUGACUAAAUUUAUAAUAUGUGACCUAAAAUUUGUUACUAUGACUUACAAUUGAUUAAGUUGUGACCAAAAAAUUAAUCGUGACCAAUUUAUCUAAUAAUUUGAAAUGAAUAUAUGAGUUGUGACCAAUAAAAGUUUUGAUUCUGUGACUAAUGAAUAAUCUAUAAAAAAAUUUAUUCGUGGUCGAAAAAUAAUAUGUGAACUAUAAAAUUUUUGAUUUGUGACCGAGAAAUAAGUUGUGACUAAUAAAUUGAUAAGUUGUGACUAAAAAUUAAUCCGUGACUAAUUACUUUUUUGAUUUGUGACUGAUAAACAAACUGUGACCUGGCAAAAUUGUUGAAUUGUGAUCGUAAAAUAAUUUGUGACAUAAAAUUUUUUAUUUGUGACCAAAAAAUAAUAAAUUAUUAUUUAAAUUGUUAAUUUGUGAUCAAAUUGUAUAGAUAUGUGACCUAUAUAUAUUAAAUUAAUAAAAUAAUUAAUUAACUAAUCAAAUGAUAAAUAAAUUUUGAUAAAAAUCUGAUUUUUGAAUUUUGAAACUUAUUUUCUUAAUUUUGAAAUAUAUCAUACUUAAUCUCCCACUUAUGAAAUUUUCCCUUAAUUAAAUAUUGGAUCAGAUUAAGUUAUGACACAAGCUAAGCCCAUUUGAGCUUAUAUAAACAACUGCUAAGAUUUGAAAAACUAGAGAGAAAUUUCAUAUUCUUACAAGCACAAGAAAAGUAAAAGUCCGAUUUUCUCAAUUUUAUUCAAUAUAUGAAUUUUCAUCGGAGGUUGGACAACCGGACAGCUGUGGAUUGCAGAUCGUGAUUGUUAGAAUCCAAGAGAAGCAAAAGAAUUUAUAGAACUUAACAAAAGUAUAAUUUUAUUAUAGUUUCUGUCUAAACACAAACCAGAUUGUUAAUAGAAAUUGAAAUUUUGUUUAAAUUAGUAAAUUCCCAAUAGGGUACACUACAAAAAAAAAAAAUAAUAAGGAUUUGCCACGGUAAAUAAACUAUGGCAAAUAGUACCAAAACUGUGGCAAAAAUCAUUUGCUAUAGCUUUGCCGCAACAAUCGACCCUUUGUAACUGCUAGAGCCUCAAAUAAUAUUACUAAAGUUUUUGCAUCAUCACAAAAACUGUUUCCACGACAAUAUAUCAACGUAUUUUCCACCAAACUAUCAUAAUAUGUUUGCCCAUAAUUAUGUGGUGGACAUGAACUAAAAAUUUCAAAAUUUAUAGCAUUUUAAUAUUUAAUUUAAAAUGUGGACCUAUAUAAUGAUGUCCGUAGUUAUGUGAUAUGCAUAACAAGAAGUAAGAACGUUUUAGAAUUUGUUGCAAAUGAAUGUUUUAUUUAAAAUGUUGACCGUUAUUAUGUAUUUUAAAUAAAUUCAAUGUUGAAGGUAUGGUUGAUUACGAACUAAAAAAAUAUAAGGACAAAAUGGAAAACUGAAUGUUUUAAUUUCACAUAUUCACACAUUUUAUAAAUCAUAAAUAGAUAUAAAUGUAGACGUGUAACAUAAAUAUUUUUUUAAAUUAUACACAUAUCCUAGUAAUAUUAUUGUUUACUGCUUGUUUUACGCUAACCGGAUCAUUAAUCUAUAAAGUUUGUGUUGUCAAAAUACAACCAGUAAUAUAUUUUGAUACCAAGAACUGAAUCUAACCAAAUACAACUAGUAGUAAGUUUUGAUGCGGUUCUGACUCAAAAAUUAGACUGGAAACCAAUGAUUCUAUGUUUAGGAUUUCUGUUUGUACUUGGUUUAGUUCAAUUCUCAUAAGAACCACUCGGAAUCGAACAAUUCAACCCUACGUUAGAACUUGUAAAAUUAAUUAUUGAUCACUAUAUUUUUUAUUUUAGAUUUUCUCUUGCGGUGGGUUUUCCAUUUUUUUGUUGAGUUGGUGGGAUUUUUUUUUUUUUAAAUAUUAUCUUGGUAAGCGUGGGCACCUCUUUUCAUUCAUUGUGCCAAGUUAUUUUGGUAUGAUCUUAAUUAUUGGUUGGCUUUGACUUUGAGUUAUCCUUUAUUUAGUGGGAUAAAUGAUGACUAUAUAUACUAAUUGUUUUAAUGCAAGUUUAUAAAAAUCGUUUAGAAUAAAAGUAUAUAAAAAUUGUGAAAAUAUUUCAUAAUUCUAUAUAAUCUAAAACAAUUAUUAAAUAAAAGUUCAUCAACUCCACGAAAUCUAUUAAUAAAUAAAUCCACUGAAGGGCCCACCAGUGGGAGGUGAAUUUGCUCCAAAAAAAGAAAAAGGAAAAAAGGAAAGAAGUACUUCGUAAGGCAUAAACUCUAUUAUGCACUAUAAUUAUUUCACAAAAUAAGAAUACACUUAGUGACUCAAUGAAACGAGUAUCACCAAGCCGCAGCAUUAGUUCACUCAGAAACAUCACCAAGCAAUAUUUAUUUUAUUACUAAGACGAUAAAGAAACACACAUACUCGCAUACAUAAAUUGAGAUGGCUUAAUGAGACUUUCCUAUGCAUAUUAGGCUGCCUUGAGAUGGUGAGACUCAAUAUCUUUAGUAAGCUUAAUGCAAACACCCAACAAUGAUAGUGGAUCUUCAGUGUCGUCAUUUAGCUUCUCAUACUUGAAAGUCCAUGUCACCAAAUCGACGUCACCAUUUGUUUCAACGUGAAAACUGGCUAUGAAGGCCUUGUAUAACUCCAUCAGAUCACCCUCAAUGAUCUUAAAUGUCACGAUCCUUUUUUCUUCGUCUGUGGCUUCAAUUAACUCUUUCGCUACUUUCUUCUUCCCCUCUACAAUUAUAUCGAAUUUAAUUUCUAAGCUUAAUAGUAGUAGAAGAAUGUUAUAUGUAUAUAAUGGAAUUACAUAAUGAUUUACAUAUAGAUUAUGUAUCAAAAAGAGGGUGAAGAAUUUUUAUUUUUAUUUUAUUUGGUUGUAUAAAUUCCCACCAAUCAUAUCUUACCACAUCAUAUGUAAGUAAGCCAUUAUUACCCUAUUUGAUGGGGAUUAAAAUCAAAUUUUUAGGAGAAGUUGAUAGAAGAUGAUGAAAUGUGUGCUUGAAAAGUUGUUGGACCCAUAAAAUACGUGGUUGAAAUGAGUUGUUGAUUUUGACUUAAAUUAAAAGCUAAAUUUUAAUCGGUGCCAAACAGUAAUAAUACUAUUACCACAAUGAAUUAGAAAAAAAUGGACACUAUUAACUAAAAUAAUAAGCUAAAAUAUUACUGUUGUAUUAUUCUAUAUGAUCUUGUUCAAUACGAUCUAACAUACCGUGAGUGUAAUUCCAGAAGAUGACGGAGCCAACAGUUCCCCAUUAUCCUUGAUGCAAAUCACAGCGUUGGAUAGUAGUAGGGCUCAUGUUGGGAAUUUGGUGUGGUGUAUACCUAAACAGUUCAUGAAAGACAUCUCCACGGGCUCUAAUUUCAAUUGGGCAGUUAAUUUACCUUUAAGACCCAUUUUUUUUUUCUUUAUAGUGGAGAGAAUCAAAGUUUCAAUAGCAAGGGGCAGGCAAGAACAAGUUGAAGUAGUAUGGGAAGAACACUCUUUUAAUCUAUUUAUAGCGACACUGGGAACAUGAAAAUCGAUGUCAGCAUGUAAUCUUUAUUUAUUUAAGGAUUAUUUCUUUAAUUAUUAUCCAUUAUUUACUAUGGUGAUAGUGAAAACUAUUUUAACAAAAUCAAUAUGUAGAUGAAUGGAUUUAGUUAAAGAAUUGCAUGAAUAAUAAAAUAUAUUAGUCUAAAUAUUGGAAAUAUAAUCGUUCAAAGUUUGAAGGUAAUUCUUUUAUGUCGGCAUAGAAUACUUAAUAAAUCAGAUUGUUAAUAUUUUAAGGUAUUGAAAAUUGUGGUAUCAUUGUCCGUAAGAAGAUAAUGCAAAAAUAUAGAGUAACCUAUGAUCAUGACAUGAUAGAUAUAAUAAUAGAAAUGAACAAACAAAGGUGACGCCAAAUUGAAAAUUGAAUUAUGCAUGUUGUGGAGAUAUGUGUUGUGCAUCCUCAAAUAAGUCUUGUUUAUAAACAUGAUUCUAGUAAAUCAAGUCGAAAGAAAGAAAAAUGAAUUGAAAACUUAUAUAAUUUUUUGUAACAAUCUCAUUACAUAGUUUUUCACUAAGGCCCCAUUUGUUUCAACAAAAAAGUUGAUUAAGAUUCAAGUUAAAAAGUCAAUAAUCAAUUAUAACGACACAUUUUAUGUUAUCAACAAUUUUACGCACAAAUUCCGCCAAACCUACUAAAUAUCUUUUAAUCUAAACCAAAAAAUGGCUAAAUGUGGUGAAUAAUGAGACAGAUAGCCUAAAAGAAAAAUUACCUUGUCUAUCUCAAAUUUCAUACUAAUGUGACAUAAUUUCUCACUAGGUUUUUAUUGUAUUGACAAUUCUUUAAACAAUAGGGUUAAUAUAAAAAGUUGUAAAAGUCAAGAAGUCAAUUGAAAUGUUGUAUAUAUGAAUUAGGUAUUUUAGGGUUCAAGCUUGGAACAAGAAGGAAAGUGUCAUCAGAUUUAUGCAGCCUAUUGCCCAUAUAAUGCUCAAGUGGAAAAAACAGAAAUAUUGUUGCUUGCUAGUCGUCCAGCUAUCACUCGAGCGACACACAGGUUGCUCACCUGUCGCUAGCCUAAUGCUUGAGCGAUGUUGUUACGCGUAAAAACCCAGUUCAUAUCUUUUAAGAGUUUUAUCCAGCCUACGCAUUCUUCUAUAGAUACCCAAGUCAUAAAAUGAUUUGAGAUGUGGUUCUUCAUUAUAUUACUUUGUCAUAUUACCUUUAUAAUAAUCAAGACUACAUUCAAACGAUGAGAUUAGGCCUUUGAUUCUUGAGAUCAUUCAACCACAAUUUUGGGAAAACAUCAAAUUUGCAUAAUCCAAGACACCAACUUUCUAUACACAUACAGGAAAGUACUUUCUCAAUAGCUUUUAGAGGAUUCUGAAGAUUGAGAGAGGUUGGAUUAGAAGUACAAGAACAAGAUGUUCUUAGUGAUCCACAAGAGACAAACAAUUCCAGAAGAUCGGGAACAAGUAUGAGUGAAGACGUUCCAAUGAUUCUUGGAGAUUGUGGGAAUUAGAUCAGCAAGUCUAGUGGAUUUUCUAGGCUGGAUCAUACUAUAAGUUCGUUAUCAAUAGUGGAGGUUACUGGCCUGAUCUCGAAAUUUUUACUCAAUUGGAUUUUCUCCAUCAACAUAUUUUGUGUUAUUUAUUACUUUAAUAUUAUUGAUUUUGGCGUUCAAACCAUAUGAUAAUCUGGUGUGAUUUAUUAAACAUGUAGAAAUAAUUAAAAAGUAACUUGUUGCUUUUAAUUGUGUGAAGUUGCUUUUAAUUGUAUAAUUUCGUACAUUGAGUCAAAAUAAAUUGGUUAAAUCUAAACAUCAUUCUUCAUGACAGAAUCGAAGUUGACUAAAUUAAUAAUCCAUUUUGGACACUUUAGUGAAUUGGUUGCCUUGCAAUUUCAAAUACAAUAAUAAUUAUGAUAGUCUUUUAAAUAAGUUAUUUGAACAACUUAAAAGUAAUCGUAAGCUAUUUAGAAGUAGAUUUCGAUAUGAUGGUGAAUAGAUGUUUUCAUGCGCACCAACUCAAUAAUCUUGAGUCAAUUAUUAUAUAUGUACACAGAUCUCACGUUAAUAUAUUUUAGUGCUCAAUAGCCAUUAGCUAGUAUUAUCUUCUACUUGUGGAGCAUAUAAUUGUAUUAUUGCAUUGUGCGUUGUAAUAAUCAAGUUAAAUUCAGUUUCUAUUAUUAAAAUACUGUUAGAUAGGGAAUCAACUACCUCAAAGUCAGAAAAUUUCAGUGAACUCCUCAAUCUAUGAGUAUUGUAAAGCCAACUCAAUUGCCCGAACUUAAGAGAAAACUGAAAUGAAAUCUUCUUCUAAAAGUGCAGGGAUGGAGUUAGGGAGCACAAAAAUAAAUAAAUAAAUGAAUAAAAAUUAUCUUGAGCUGAUACAUACCAAUAAAAAUCUAAAUGAAUAUCCCCUUCCUUCUGUUGAGCGAUAUUGGGCAUUCUCAACCCCAAAAGGUAGUUCAAAAGGUGAGGUUUUCCCUCAUAUUUAUAAACUGACCGCCAAUCCUGUCCACAACAGAAAUGGGAUAAUUUCAACACUCUCUCCCACGUACAUCAGGCCCUAGGUGGGUACAGACUCAUAUCUCACGUGAAUUGUUGGGCCAGGACUUAAAAUCUAAUCAUCGAUCCUUUCCAUAAUCGGUGUAAGAUAAUAUCAAUACCUUCCCCCUUCCAAGAGUUUCUUAAAAUAAAAAGCCUCUCAAAAAACAUUUAAAAACAAAGAGUGAAUCCUUUUGUUGGAGUCUAACAUUAACGGCAUAUAUGUUCCAUAGUUAUUUGAUUUCUUCCAUAAGUUAUUAUGACUCAAUAUUUUUCCUCCUUUUUUAUUUAUCUUAUCUCUUUCAUCCUCGUUUUCCUUAAUUUUCUAGUCAACUAACGAAAAAAGUGGAUGGUUUUCACUGAAAGUCCUUCUAAAGCAAUGAGAUGACAGAUUUGGGAUCGUAAUUGCAAUAAAUGUUAGGGCAAAAAUUGUAAAGAUUUAAAAAUUUUGAGACCUUAAUUGCAAUUAUCAACAUAUAAUUUUAUUACCCCUCACUCAUCUGGUUUCCAAACAAACACUCAAUUACUGUAACAUCAAUUAUUUUAAGCCUUGUCUCAAUAUUCGACAAUUGUCCAUUAUCUAUAACGAUUAUAGAAAAGAAUAAUGUGACGAGUCAACCAAGUUUUCGAGUUUGGGACCUUUUUAUCAGGACUUCUACUCAUUGAAUGUCUUGAUCUACUACUAUACAAAUAGCUUUUGCCGCUACAGUAUACUUAAUUAUCUGCUUUAAUUAAACAAUUAUACACAUAAUGUUUGACCAAAUGCCAUCAAUCUAAGGACACGGUGGUACUUUAUUGCACUGGAUAAGAAUUUUGAGAUCAUUAUAAGAGAUUCUAAAUGAUAAUUAGAUGUGCAUUCAUUAUUGUUUUCAUCACCUGACUGUCACUCAUGGAUUUUUAUUUAAAUUGGUCUUUCUGUUGACACGUGGAAAAUUUACUUGGAAGGAUGCAAGUCUUGGACUUAUUUGACAGGCUAAUACAACUUUUAACGAAGUCCAAUUAUUUAUCACUCCCAUAAUAGAAAUCAGAAUUUUACAGUAAUUCCAGUUUUGCUAGUUUGAAGUUUUCCUUAUUGUAAUUACCGUACGUACAUAAAUAAUUAUAAUUGGUAAUAUAUGAUUGUGUAUGCCUUUGGACUUUGAAUUAUAGAUUAAAUUAGAUUAUGUCUAGUUUAAUUAUUUGCUUAUGUAAUUAAUGUUCGAUUAAUAUUGUUUGGUAGUCACCAAAAUGGCCAAACAUUAUGGUAUUGCGAACACUAAAUUACAUGAUUUAUUUAUGUCAAUUAUUCUGGAUAGUUUGAUGCUUAUAAAUGAAAAUAACUUUAUUAUUAUUGUCAAGAGUAUAUAGACAUUCAUAGAUUAUAAAAUUAUUAUAGAUCGUCCAAAGGUUAAUCAGUUAAUUUUAUUAAUCUUGAACAUGAUCGUGGUUUAUUAAUUUACUUGGCUGGAUGUGUUUUGUAUAUCCAAAGAUAUCGUACAUAUUUGAUUAGAGUAUAUUUAAUUACCAAUUAAGUGAAAUUAAAUUAGCAUCAUUAUGUCUAUUUAUGAUGGUAUAACGUAGUAUCACCCAAAGGAGAACUAUAAUAUACAUUUAUUGUUAUCUGAAUCUGGAAUUAACUAUUUAAAUCUAAACUCAAAGCAUUAAUGUUAGAGCAUUUUAUAUUUUGCAGUAUCUAUUCUCGUUUCUCUGCAUUCGCAUGCUUCAUCUGUACCACUGUUCAAUGGGCUCAAUUUCUCUUACUGUGUGAACAAGUCUAGUGACUUAGACUUGGGACUUCAAGUUGAGAAACCUGUUGAUCUUAUUGAUAAGAGCAGUGUUGAUGAAAGGUCUUUCCAUAAGGCUUGUGAGAGGUCUAACAGAUUAAGCCUAAUGUUUAUGCAGAUGACCUUACCAAAGAAUAUUAAAUCUACUAUCUCUAAAACUGAGAUUGCUAAGGAAUAUAUGAAGUUUGUGGAAGAACAUUCCCAAACAGUUGACAAAUCGCUUGUUGGCAUAUUGAUGGGUACCUUAACCACCAUGAAAUGAGUAACAUUACAGCAAGACUUAAUACCCUUAGGAUGAUUGUGGAUGAGAACUUUCUAAUACAAUUUAUCAUUAGCUCAUUGCCUCCUAAGUACGGUCCAUUCCAUAUGAAUUAUAAUAUUUUAAAGGAUAAAUGGAAUGUGAAUGAAUUGCACAGUAUGCUCAUGCAAGAGGAGGCAAGGCUUAAGAAUCAAGGAACUCAUUCUGUUCAUCUCAUAAGUCAUCUAGGAGCUGGAAAUAAAUUUAAGAAAAGAUCUGGAAAGGGCAUUAAGCAAGGACCGUUAAAGAUAAAUGAGUCUUCUACCCAAAUCCACAAUAAGGAACAUAAAAUAGAUACGUGCCAUUUUUGUCGCAAACUUGAGGACCAUAAAAAAGAAUGCCUGAAACGGAAGACAUGGUUCAAUAGUAAAUGUAAGAUUAUUUCUUAUGUAUGUUUCGAAUCUAAUUUGGCCGAAGUUCCUUAUAAUACUUGGUGGAUUGAUUCUGGAUGUACCACUCAUGUUGCUAAUACGAUGCAAGGAUUCCUUUCAAUUCAGACUAUAAAUCCAAAUGAAAAAUUUGUCCUCACGGGAAAUCGAGUCAAAGCUCCAGUUGAAGCCAUUAGAACCUAUCGUUUGAUUUUAGAUACUGGACAUUAUUUAGAUUUAUUUCAAACAAUUUAUAUACCUUCUAUUUCUCACAAUUAGGUUUCUUUAUCGAAACUUGAUUCUGUUGGAUAUUUCUUUAAAGGUAGAAAUGGAUGUUUAAAUUUGUUUAAACAAAAUCAUCUUAUCAGUUCCGCUAUUGUUUGUGAUAGCUUAUAUAAAUUAAAGCUUGAUAACCUCUUUGCCGAGACUAUUUUGACCUUGUAUCAUAAUUUUGGUACUAAACGUUGUUUACUGAAUGAAUGAUCUACUAACUUGUGGCAUAGACGUUUGGGUCACAUAUCCAAGGAAAUGAUAGAAAGAUUGGUAAAGAAUGAAAUCCUUCAUGACUUGGAUUUUAGCGGUCUUGGAACUUGUGUGGAUUAUAUUAAAGGUAAACAAACUAAACAGACAAAGUAGGAGCCACAAGAAGCACACAACUUCUUGAGUUAACACACACCGAUAUAUAUGGGCCUUUUGAUGUUCCAUCACCUGGUGGAGAAAAGUAUUUUAUCACUUUUAUUGAUAAUUUUUCACGUUAUGGUUAUGUCUAUCUGCUAAAUGAAAAGUCUCAAGCUGUAAAUAUUUUAGAGAUUUUUGUCAAUGAAAUUGAACGACAAUUAGAUAGAAAGGUGAAAAUUAUUAGAUCUGAUAGAGGUGGUGAAUAUUAUGGAUGGUAUGAUAAAAUUGGAAAACACCCUAGUACAUUUGCUAAAUUUCUUAAAAGACAUACGUUCUCAAUACACUAUGCCAGACACACUAAUACAACAUGGUGUGGCUGAAAGGCAUAAUCGUACUCUAAUAUAAGUGGUUAGGUGUAUGUUAAGCAAUUUGUCUUUACCCAUUUCUUUGUAGAUAUUUACAUUAAAGACUGCCAUAUAUCUGCAAAACAGGGUUCGUAGUAAGCUUUUCCAAAAACUCUAUUUGAAUUGUGGAUGGAAAGGAAACCCAGUUUAAGGCGUUUGCAUGUUUGGGGUUGUCCAACAGAAGCAAGAAUUAUAAUCCACAUGAAAAGAAACUAGACUCAAGAACAGUCAGUGGAUUUUUCAUUUUAUUCAGAAAAAUCAAAAGGGUAUAGAUUUUAUUGUCCUAACCAUAGUACUAGAAUUGUUGAAACUGAAAAUACUAGAUUCAUUGAGACUGGUGAAGUUAAUGGGAGUUUAGAACCAUAAAAUGUGGAGAUACAAGAAGUUAGAGUUCAAAUUUCUCUACCCUUAACUUCUUCUAAUGUUGCUCCUCAAAUUGUUGAACGGUAUGACAAUUUACCCGAACAACAAAUAAAUGAUCAAACACCCCACAAUGAGGUUGCCACUGAUGAACCUGCAUUAAAUGAACCACAAGAAAUAGCAUUGUCACAAAAACAACAUAGACCUGCUAUUUUUGAUGAUUAUGUAGUUUACCUACAAGAGUCUGAAUUUGACUUGGGAAUUGUUGAUGAUAAUCCAGUUUCAUUUUCACAGGCCAUUGAGAGCGCUAAUUCUGAUAUGUGGUUAGAUGCUAUGAAAGAUGAGUUGAACUCUAUGGAAGAUAAUGAAGUCUGGGAUCUUGUCGAAUUACCAGAAUCAUGUAAAAGAGUUGGGUGUAAAUGGGUCUUUAAGACCAAGCACGACUCUAAUGGUAAUAUCAAACUAUAUAAAGCUAGUUUUGUUGCCAAAAGUUUUACUCAGAAAAGUGGCAUUGAUUAUAAGGAGACAUUUUCGCCAGUCUCUACGAAAGACUCACUCAAAAUUAUAAUGGUUUUAGUAACUCAUUAUGACUUAGAGCUACAUCAAACAGGCGUGAAAAUCGCCUUUCUAAAUGGAAAUUUAGAUGAAUAAAUUUAUAUGGAUUAACUUGAAGGUUUUUCAGUUGAAGAAAAGGAACACAUGGUGUGUUAGUUAAAGAAAUCAAUAUAUGGACUUAAACAUGUUUCCCGUCAAUGGUAUCUUAAGUUUAACGAUACUAUUACUUCCUUUGGAUUUAAGAAAAACGUCAUUGAUCGAUGUAUAUAUCUAAAGGUUAGUGGGAGCAAAUUUAUAUAUCUGAUUAUGUAUGUUGAUGAUAUCUUACUAGCUACUAAUGAUCUUUGUCUAUUAUACGAGACUAAGAAAUUUCUCUCCAAAAAAUUUGAAAUGAAAGAUAUGGGAGAGGCAACUUAUGUGAUUGGGAUUGAAAUAUUCCGUGAUAUGUCACAAGGAUUGUUGGGGUUGUGAAAGCAUAUAUCAAUAAAGUUUUAGAGAGAUUUAAUAUGAAAAAUUGUUCAGCAAGUGUUGUUCCAAUUCAGAAAAGAGACAAGUUUAGUCUCAUGCAAUGUCCUAAAAACGAACUGGAACGCAAACAAAUGACAGUUAUUCCUUAUGCGUCUCUUGUUGGAAGCUUAAUGUAUGCUUAGAUUUACACUAGGCUAGACAUCUGUUUUGCUGUCGGAAUGCUGGGCAGGUAUCAAAGUAACCCGGGACUUGAUCAUUGGAAACCUGCAAAGAAAGUAUUGAUAUACUUGCAAGGAACGAAAGAUCACAUGCUCACUUAUAGAAGAUCUGAUAACUUGGAGGUCAUUAGGUAUUCAGAUUCAAACUUUGCUGGAUGUGUGGAUACUAGAAAGUCCACAUUUGGCUAUCUGUUCAUCUUGGCUGGAGAGGCUAUAUCAUGGAAAAGUGCAAAGCAGUCGGUCAUUGUUGCAUCGACUAUGAAAGCUGAGUUUAUGGCAUAAUUUAAGGCCACGGUUCAAGGAAAUUGGCCACGGAACUUUAUUUUAGGGCUUGAAAUUGUCGACAGUAUAGCUAGGCCGCUGAAACUUUAUUGUGACAAUUUUGCAGCGAUCUUCUUUUCAAAGAACGACAAGUAUUCAAAAGGUGCUAAACACAUGGAACUGAAGUACUUUGCCAUUAAAGAAGAAGUUCAAAAACAAAAGGUGUCAAUCGUGCAUAUUAGAACUGAUCUUAUGAUUACAGAUCCACUAACGAAAGGAUUGCCACCAAAGACAUUCAAUGAACAUGUCAAAAGAAUGGGCAUUAUUGAAAAUUAUCAUUGACAUUAUUAUGUAAUUUAUUAUGCUUAUGUAUUGACACUUUGAGCUCAUUUAUGUAUUGUUUUUGACAAAAUAUUAUUCUUGUCAUAACUGUUGGUACAUGUACGUAAAUGGAUUAUGUAAAUGCUAAUAGAGAUAGUCUUUUCGAAUACAUUAUUGUAAUGCAAUUACUGCACUUCUCAUUAUGUGUCAUGUUGUUAGGGACUAAUACUGUAGUACAUGGAAUGAAUUAUGCAGAUAUGAUGGUGUAGAACUGUCAUGACUUUUAUUAGUCUUUACUUAAGGAUGAUAUCUUAAGUGGCCAACGUAUGAGGGAUUUUAGCUCAUGAUAUGCGCAUUAUUUUAUAUACCACAUAACAAAACAAUAUUACAAGGGCUAAGUAAGAGAAUGUAAAACCAAUUAUUUUGUGGCCCAUGUAAUAUUAAAGAAUUAAUUAAAGGUGGUUAAUAUUACUAAAAUCCUAUUGGCCCAAUUAAGAAGUGACAGUUUUAUAACUGUCCACUUUGAUGGAAAGUGGAGAGUUUUAUGUCACAUAGAAAACUACCUCUCUCUGUCUAUAAACGUGAAUAAAACUCAUCAAUUAAUUAAUUCAAUUAUAGAGAGGAAAAGUGAGAGAACGAUUUCUUUAACUGUUUCUUCUUCUUCUUUUUUUUUUUUUUUACAGAUUUAAAAUUCUCAAUUAUUAUCAUGCAUCAAUGUAUGUUUCUUGAUCAAUUAACUUAUAUGUGAAAAUCAAUGAAUUUUAAGAUCUUGAUAUUGGGGCUUGAUUGCUUACACUCAAAACAACAAUAAGUUACUUACUCCUUAAAAUAUUUAUUUAAAAAUUAGAUCCCGAUAUGGCAAUGAAUGCUUUCAUACACACCAACUCAACUAUGCUCUGCCAAUUAUUAUAGAGUGCAAGACUGUUAGAGGAACAGCCUCGCUGAAUGGCUUUUUUACACAUAUACGCUUGACAAAAUUUUAUUUGCAAUAAAAAACAGUAAAACAAAAAGUUUUCAAUUCAUCCAUCGAAAUAAGUCCUAUCAUCAAGCUUGUUUGAUUAGUUUAACUCUACAAAGUAAUGCAUUAUUCAUUUUUAUAUACGUCACCCUCAUGAAUGAAUUUUUAAUAGCCACUAGUAAAGUAAUAUCUUCUGCUUAUGGAAAUGGUAUACUAUUGGAUGGCGAUAAUCACUUAAUUAAAGUAAAUAAGUACUUUUCUUCGUAGCACUCUCAUAUCCAAUUCUUUACUCUAUAUUUGUAUUAUUAAAUAGACAUGUUACCCCUACACGUCUUACAUUUUUUUUUUUUUAUAUAUUUACACUUUGUUUUUGUUUCAUGUACAAUAUUUUAAUUACAAUUAAGGUUUUCAACCUUUGAUCAUUGUCACACUUAUUUUCUUGAUUUUUUCCGACACAUUCUUUUUAUUAACCUUCAAUUAAUUAGUACAUUUUGUUUUUGAUGAUCAUUUCUGUCCAAAUAUUCUAUUAACAAGUUUUAAAAUGAAAGAAAAUAAUUGAUUGAACUUUCGGACUACAACUAUCAUCAAAGAAAUGAUGUUCUAAUUAAUGAAAUACUUAGGACAAAAAUGAUAUGAGAAAAGGGCAUAAGUGCACUAAUGAAAAAAAUUGAAGAAAUUCAUUUAAGUUAAAAUGGAUCCAACAAAACAUAAUCCGUGUGUGAACUUCAUUUAAUUAUGCUUUACAAAUGGGUUGUACUAAUCAAAAUGCAAGUAAUAAAGCUUACAUGUACAUGUGCUAAGAAAACUUCCAAAGUUGCUAAACAUAUUAUACAUUUUAUUUAAUUAGAAAAUAAUCUUCUAUAAUAGGUUACAUGCCCAUUUAGAAUCUAUAAAAUUAUAGAGAGAGAGAGAGAGAGAGAGAGAGAGAGAGAGAGAGAGAGAGAGAGAGAGAGAGAGAGAGAGAGAGAAAGAGAGAGAGAGAGAGAGAGAGAGAGAGAGAGAGAAUCAUCAUUUAAAAUUCAAUCUUUAAAUAAAGUCUCAGAGUAUUUAGCAUUCGGGAGAAGAUAAAACUUGAUAUAACACUAAAAAAUUGUUAUAUACAUCUUAUUUUAUUUUAUUUUGUCUAAUAAUAUUAUUUGAUGUAAAAAAUUUUGUACCACCUGAUAUUGACCAUGGAUUGGAACAAGUUCGACCUUCUGGCAUCAAUGAAAUGUUUCCUCAAGUCUCUGAUUACAUGAAAUGAAAUAAAGGCAUAGAUUGUUGACCACGUAGUCGAUUAGAUGGCUAAGUCAUUAUUAGAAGUAAUAUUCCUAUGUAAUCAGUAAAAAAUAGUCCCGCACCUUCAAUGAAGGGAUGAUGGUCAUAUUUAUAAAAAAUGGAUCCAUGGUUUGAUUAGAACACACAUGGCAGAAUAGGAAAGUAUAGUUUUACUUUCCGUAUGACACGAUUAAGCCCAAUUUGGAUAAGAUUCUUUCCAAAAAAUGUAAUCUCAUUUAGAGCUCGUUUAGUAGCUAUUUUCUUCAAAAUGCAUUUUUCUCUCUCUUCUUUUCAAUCACACAUUCUUUAUUAAAUAAUAUUACACGUAAAUCAAAAACUUUUCCUUAUUUUUUAACCACGCAUUUUACAUCAAUUUACUAUUCUAAAAUGCAUUUUACAUAAAAAUGUCUAUCAAACACCCCCUUAAUUAUAAUCAAACUAGUUGCUCGAGAGUUGGACUCGUGGUUCGUGAUCUCACCAUAUUAUUUGUAUCAUCAUCAUAAGCCCCUGCAACUGACACCAACUUUUGGGCUUAGGUUGCAAAUAUCAUCUUUCAAGUGUGCAUAUAGUGACAAUGAUGUUAGAGGAGCAACUUAACUUCUAGCCUUCUAGGAGCGGCUUGAUUUCACGAGGGAGGUGAUUGUUCAAAUAAAUUGCCUCUUUUCACUUAAUGGCUCGCAAAACUCUCCUGUUAUAAGCUCAACCCAUUACUAUCUAACUGGAUCGAGUUGAUUUGAACCUACAUCUCUUCCAUUCCAAAUUUCUAAGAGACUAAAAACUGUAAUACCAAGAGGUAAUAUUGUAAUUCUCACAAAAUAAAAAAUUUCAUCCAUUCAAGAAAAAGCCAUAGUACCAUACAUGCUAUAUGGAGGAGGAACACACAAUAUUAAUUAUUUUAUCACAAAGUUCACCAGUCAACUGUUAUUCGUAAAAUAACAACAAAAACACACAAACGGAGGUGGCUAGAUGAGUUUCUAUAACUCAUGCAAGCACAGAACCCUAUCCAUAUCGAGUGGCCUUGAGAUGGUGUGCCUCAACAUCUUUUGCAAGUUUAAUGCAAAAGCCCAACAUUGAGAGUGGUUCUUCAACAUCGUCAUUUAGCUUUUCGUACUCAAGUGUCCAUGUCACCAGAUCAAUGCCACCAUGAGUAUCAACAUGAAAACCUACUUUGAAGGCCUUGUACAACUUCAUCAGAUCACCCUCAAUAACCUUAAAUGUCAUUGACUUCUUUUCCUCAUCUAUGCUUUCGAUUACGUCUUUUGCUACUCCCUACUUCCCAUCUACAAUUAUUUCAAAUUUUACAAACUUCAUACAAAAGAAAGCCAGAUAAUCAAGUUAUCCUACAUUCAAUAGGGUGAAUUGGACAGUAUUGGGCAAUUUCGAGUAUAGUCUAAUAUUGACUACUAAACAACGUUGGCUUACCA